UCGUACAAAAUGUGAGGGGCAUGCGAGGGCUGUCGCUGACCCAAAAGUCGUGCACGCCCGAGUGUGUCCUCUUGCAUAAUAAUCCAUCUCACCCUUUGUGCAUCACCGCGUGGGCACCCUUCGGGAUCAUCUCGGAGGGGGGCUCGCGUUUUCACACAAACCCCCCCUUUUAAAAGUGUAGAAUGACCACAUUUAUGCAAUCAAUAC
rnacentral:misc_RNA from 1 species